CUAUGAUCUGCUACUGUGCAAAAGUUAACAAGAAAAAUCACAAUUUCGACACUUAUUAUCGACCAUCUACCUUCAAAAUUAUUUAUACACUCAGUCUAAGCUAAGAUCUGCUACUAUGCAAAAGUUAACAAGAAAAAUCACAAUUUCGACACUUAUUAUCGACCAUCUACCUUCAAAAUUAUUUAUACACUCAGUCUAAGCUAAGAUCUGCUACUAUGCAAAAGUUAAUAAGAAAAAUCACAAUUUCGACACUUA